rnacentral:ncRNA from 1 species
ACAGAAGAGGAGCGUUAACUAGGUAGUAAGUCUGAAAAGUCCAAACUUUGAUGAUGGCUUAUGAGGGAGGUUAACGCCGAGAUAUUGCAGUUUUUUGGAAUGACUCAAUAUUGGUCGAAUGGGCUGAAUCCCAUAGAUUGUCACCUUUUAUUGGUGGAGAGCUUCUGGU